GACAUGUCCUCUGUGGUUGUGUCAAGUCCAACAUGUGGCCCCGGGCCCUAAAGUAGGUCACAGCGACAGGAGAGAAGUGAAACCAGGCUGCUUGUGUCCUGUGUAUUCUGGCUAUAACAUAGUUGAGUAUUUAAUAUGUAUUCAAGAUGUGAACAACUUCAAAUACACACUGGUUCUAUAAAUGCAUGACAUCCACGCAUCCCUCCCCCAUCGGAGUGCAGCAGCGUUCAGCCUCUGGAGCGCUUCUUCCCCUCUUCCCGUUGACGUGGAGCUCGUCAUGAUGGCGUCUGAACCGCUUCCACUUGGACAAUAUCUGGGGCACACGUGACCGACAGCCCGUGAGCGGCGGCCAAUGGGAGCCCACCUCGCGCGUCACGUGACAACCCCUCGAGCUCGCUUCAGCGAAUGGGAGCGCGAGAGCCCCGGAGGAGCGGGAGGAGGGAGGACGGCCAACUGGCGAGAAACAAGAUGGAGACCUCCGGCCACUGCGCCUCUGUUUCCACCGGGCGCUCCUCGGUGCGGAGGGGGCGGGUUUAAUACACGACUGUUCCUUUCUUUAGGAGGGGGGAAGGACGUCGUCUGUGGAGUCCUCCGAGCGGCGACUCGUUCCCCGUCGUGACCCGGCAGCGAGCGGCUCUCCUCCAGAGGGACACACGCUCCCGCUGGGCGGUCAACCAGGGACCACAACACAAGGGUGUUGUCUUCAUCAUACCAUACUGUCUGACAACUUUCUAGCCGAUAGACGUCAUCUCCGCCGCCGCCGGUGGAGGAGAGGAGGAGUGGAGCGUCGACCCGGACCAGCCAUGUCACCGACACCAGUCAUUCUACCCGGCUUUGGGUUGUGGGACUCGGAGUUACCGACGUGAGAGACACGGACUUCCGGUGAGCUUCAGGAUCUCCCCGGAGCAACACGGAGACCGAAGGGAGGUCUCCCCGGGCUGAGCCGCUCCUCCCCCAGCCCUCCAGCCCUGGAGCCGCCGGGGUCUCCCCCGAGAUGCUGGCGCUGGCAGAAGAGGCCGCCCGGGCCGGGGACUUCGGCCUGGCCGCGGACAUCUACAGCUCGCAGCUGUCGGCGCAGCCGGACCGGGGGCUGUGCCUGAGGAGGGCCGACUGCCUGAGCCGCGCCGGCCGGACCACCGAGGCGCUGGACUCGUACUGCGCGGCGGCCGGCCUGGGCAAGCUGCGGCCGGAGGAGCUGCCGCUCCUGGUGGACACCAUCGCCCGGACUCUGCGGGAGAAGGAGCUCGGCAGCCCCGGGCCGCGCAGCGGGGACGGGGACUGCGGAGAGGCCGACGCGCUGGACCUGUUCUCCUGCCGCCUGUGCAGCUGCCUGCUCCACGAGCCCACCACCCUGGACUGCGGACACACGUUCUGCAGGCUCUGCCUGGAGGACGCCUCCGCGAGGGAGUGCGCCCACUGCGAGCAGCCGCUCGGCCAGAAGGACGGGCUGCCCAACGGCCGCCGGCUGGACGUGGUGCUCAGCGGCCUGCUGGACAAGCUGUUCGCCUCGGAGAGCAGAGCCCGGAGGCUGUGGCUGGAAGGAGAGGCGCUGUGGAGGAGCCGGGCCCUCCCGCAGGCCCUGGACAAGUACAACGCCGCCGUGGACCUGGGUGAGACCGCAGAGCCUCGGCAUGCAGCACGACUGUGAUGCGGUGUUUCCUCCAUUCAUAACAGGAGGAGGUGGAGAGGGUGGUCCGGGUGGUCCGGGUGGUCCGGGUUGUCCAAUAUGGACAGCAGUUUCUUCAACGUCCUCCUCUCCACCACCUGUUCCAGGUGCUCCAGCUGGCAGCCGAUGAUGGAGCCAGCCUUCCUAACCAGUCUGUGAGACGGCUGGUGUCACUGCCCGAUGCUGCUCCCCCAGCAGACAAUGGCAAAGUGCAGCACACUGGCCACGCCCACUGGGAGAACAUCUCCAGCAUCUUGCUGCACACGUUGAAGGAUCGAAGCUUCCUCAGGAAAAAGAGUCGACUCCUCCCCUUCUUGUACACAGCGUUGAUGUUGGCCUUCCAGUUCAGUCGAUGGAGACGCCCAGGUACUGGUCCUCCUCCACCAGCACCCUCCUCAGGCAGGCUGCUGUGUCGGCGGGCCGAGCUGCACAUGGAGAU